GAGGUGGGCUCUGGGGUGGUCGGGCUUGGAGUGGGCUCCAGGGUGGUCAUGUUUGGGGCGGGCUCCGGGACGGGCUCUGAGGUGGUCGGGCUUGGGGUUGGUUCAGUAGUGGAUUUUGGAGUUUUGGAGAAUGUGAUGGAUUCCAUGUGAAGUGUGAAAUUUGGGGUCCAUCUAGGUGGGAAUGUGGUCUGCUCCUUAGUGGAUUCUUGUGUUGGAUGCAAGGAGGAGGGCAUUUGGCUGUCUAGAGAAGCAGUGGACCAUGAGUAGAAUAGACCCCAGGGGGUUGUAUGGGCUUUGGUGGGGAACUUGACCACAGUCCUUGUGGCACGCACCUUAUCGCCCUCAGUGUCCUCUUCUGGGUAGUAAUCAUAUAGGUCUGUGUCACCUUCAUCACCAAGGGUGGGGCACCCCUUUCCUGGGUAUUUGUAGACGGGAAACUUGUCUGAAUUGUCACACUGCACACUGGCCACGUUAGAGGUCAUGGCCUUGACGUCCACACCUUGCUUCCAUACGUAGACAUUUUCAGCAUUGUCCUGCAGCCAGCGACGAAAAUAGAGGAUCUCACAGUUGCAUAACCAGGGGUUCCCGUGGAGAAAAGCAAAAGGCAGGAGGUGGGACCCAAAAAAGCCCUUUGGUAUUGUAUACAGCGAGUUCUCUUGGAGGAGAAGGGUGUCGAGAUUCUCCAGCCCAUUCAGGAGCCCAGCGGGGAGCUCAGUCAAGUUGUUGUUAGCCAGACUGAGCUUCUCCAGCUUGGGUGUGGGCGUCAGGAGCCCUGGGGGCAGGGUCUUCAGCUCAUUGCCUUUCAGGUAGAGCUCUUGGAGUUCGCCAAGACCACGCAGGGCACCAAGAGGCAGCGAGGUCAGCCGGUUGAAGGAGACGUCCAGGACGGUGAGAGCAGGCAGUGUCUGCCCUAGCAAGGGCAGGCUUUGCAGCUGAUUGUGGGAUAGAUCCAGGGUCCCCAGCACUGGCAGCGUCCCAUCGACCUGGAGCUUGGUGAGCUCGCACCUAUCUAGGUUCAGCUGAGUGAGGCGAGUGUAAGGCAUCAGGGUUGCCAGGGAGAAGGUGUACAGGAGGUUCUCACUCAGGUGGAGGAUGGUUGUGUCUUUCGGCAGGAGAAUCGCUUGAAACCGGGAGGUGGAAAGAGGUUGCGGUGAGCCGAGAUCGUGCCAUUGUACUCCAGCCUGGGUGACAAGAGCAAAACUCCAUCUUAAAAACAAAAAAACCUCUCCAGAUGCCCGCUUCUCUUCCUCUUCACAGCUGCAUUCUGAGAGUUGCCUACUUUUAAUUCUCUCCCACCUUUCUCUCUGCCUUCUCACCCCAGUCUAUGCUGAUUUCUUUCCCCUGCUACUCCAUUGACUCGGUUCUUACCAAGGUCUUUAAUGCUCUCCCUCCUCUACAUCCAUGGGAAACUUCUCCACUGUGAUCUUACUUUAUUUCGGCAGCCUGCAUACCCAUGGCCACUCGCCCCUUGGGAUUCUCCUUUUGGCCUCUGUGACACAUGACCCUGUAAUUUUCUUGGUUUUCUUCUUACCUGUUUGGUUGGGCCUUCUCAGUCUCCUUCAUAGAUUCCCCUUCUUGAACAAUUAAACUGCCCCCAGAGUUUGUGCUUAGGCUGUCUUCAUUCCCAGCUAAUUUUUAUAUUUUUAGUAGAGACGGGGUUUCACCAUGUUGGUCAGCCUGGUCUCGAACUCCUCAUCUCAAGUGAUCCACCCACAUUGGCUUCCCGAAGUGCUGGGAUUAGAGGCAUGAGCCACCGCGCCCGGCAUUCUCUUCUUUUCUUACGCUAUGCAACCACCUGAGAUUAUCCUCAUCCAUUCCCUUGCCUUCAACCACCACCUACAACCUAAUGAC
rnacentral:lncRNA from 10 species